UCAGUCUGUCGCCUACUGUCACGGUGUUAGCCUCCCUCUCAGUCUAAGCGCGUUCUCUCGCUCAUCACCCCCAUUCUUUUCUGGGUCUGCUUCUCUCCCUUCGUCCAAGCCGCUCCUUAGCGCCCAGUUGCGCAAAUCCAACUUUUUCCCCGUUCUAUUCACUCCUGAUCAAGAGGGGCUGUCAGUCCAACCCUCCAGCCGUAGGCUCGUGCAUCUCUGCCAGUUUCUUGGUGCGUGGGGACCGCGUGGAAGUGCCUUCGCGUGUGCGUGCCAGCUGAGAUGAGACAUGGAAGCUGGAGGGAUCUGGCAUCCCAGGGAGGCGUGAGGCUCCCAGAGCACCACCUGUUCAGGCCCACACUAACAACAUCAGCCAAGGCCUCUACAGCAGCCCCUGAGCUGCCUUUUGAUGAUUUGGACAAGGCCUCUGUACUAUGAUGGAACCAGGUGACCCGCGGCCUCUGGGCUGGGACAGAAGACAGAUUUUUCUCAUGCAGAAAGAUGUCUAACUUCUGUGGCAAGCAGCUCUAUCUCCCCAUGAAAUCACCUCAUAAGAAGAGUUAAAAGGAGGAACUAAGGGGGGCUGUGGAGAGAGAUGUGUGUCCUAUAACA